GCCCUCCUGGCGGAAUGGUAGACGCAGAGGAUUCAAAAUCCUCCGCUGCGAGGCGUGCCGGUUCGAGUCCGGCGGAGGGCACCA
rnacentral:tRNA from 4 species